AUCAAGCUAAAAGAAAGGAGAAAAAGAAGGAACAACUUCAUCAGCUCUGCUAUGAAAAUUCCAUAUGUUCCAUAUGUUCUCCAUGAACCCUUACCUAGGAGAAACCAUUCCAAGUGGCAACAGAGAGACAGAAAAAAGAAAACAGUGUUCCAUUAAAUUUGAUGAAGACCAACAAGGUUUAGCACCUGCUGUUCUUGAAAAAUUUCAUCAUAGGUGAUCCGGGACCUUUGCAUGUAUGAAAACAUACAGUGUGCCAAAACAACGAUCUUCUACUUGCUUAUGCCAAU
rnacentral:lncRNA from 11 species